rnacentral:tRNA from 1 species
UGGGGAGUGGCUCAGUGGUAAGAGUGCUUGUCUAACAGGCAAGAGGCCCUAGAUUCCCUCCUCAG